GAUACCUUUUGUGAUGAGAAAACAAUAUUUAUGGAGCCUAUGCAAAGAAAGAGGAUUUAUUUUUUUUCUGGCUAUGGCUAGAAUACUACAGCUGUAAAUGGAAUGCUUACAUUGAGAAGGCAGUGAAACCUGAAAGUACAGACCUGACCUACCUGCUAGAGCUGAGCUUACAGCAGCGAAGGAGCUCUCAAGGAAAAAAAGAAAAGAAAAGAUAACACGAAGUGUUAAAGAGGGAACAUUUCUAAGGGUCAGGGAGAGGUGUGUGAAGGAGAAAGAGUUUGUUUCAGCUCAGCAAAUACCUAUUUAUCACCUGCUCUAUACUAAGCAUUGAGCUUCACAGCAAGAUAGAGAAUAAGAACAUGCUUGAACCUACCCCUGGAUGAAAGGAGAGAGGAGAAAUGAGAAUGUUGAUGCCGUGGGAGAAGCACAUCAUGAAGGUGGCACCAAACUAGUUUCCAUGAAAUCCCAGAGAGGCCUGCGAGGGAGGAUGUGAGGGUGGGUUCCUCAGAAAGAUGGGUAUGGAAGGACAAGUAAAACUAAACAAGGGGAAAAAAAGAGAGAACCUUUGAGGCAGAGGGAAUGACAUUCACAAAGGCACAGUCAGUAAACAGCAAGGUAUGUUUGCAGAGCAACACGGAGGGCUGGAUAUGAGGUAUGUGAACAUCGCCAGAGUGACAAGCAGAGCAGAGAAUGCUGAUGAGGUUGGGAAGUCAGACUCCUGGACAUCAGACAAGAGAGUUGAAGACAGGGAUGCUGAGCGAAGGAGUCCAUAUAUUCUCCAUAACUCGAAUUACUACAAUGAAUUGCUCCAUUACUCACCUUUGCACUGGACAUUAAUCACAAAAACAAAAAACUGCAGAGCCAGGAAGUUAGUGAGGAUGUGCUAUUUCAACCCUGCACCCUGUGCCAAGUGGAUGCAGCUGCAAUGAGGAAUCUGCAGUGCUCCCCUUUCCCAUCUGUUUUUUAAACCAUUAGUGCAGAAGUUUGUGGGAGAAACUCACAGCCGUGACUGGGAUAGAGCUGGACUCUUGGGAAAGGCUUGCUGAAAUUCAAAUCACUUGCGAGUCACCUGCCCACAAAGGACAUACUAGGUCCACCUCUGGCUCCUAGUGUUUCCCAUUCGCCCUGCCUGCACAGGCUCAGGCCUGAUUAUACCAAACUGCUUGAAAAUCUGAAAUAUUAAAAACAUCCAUACUAAAGAAUAUUAUGGAACCAC
rnacentral:lncRNA from 1 species